rnacentral:misc_RNA from 1 species
CAGCAACGUCCACCUGUGCAUGCCUCUUCAUUUGUGUGUCAGGGUCAAUUUUUCCCUGCGCAUCGGUUGGGCUUCCUGUGUCGCAUACCUAUCGGAUGGAAUUUUUUGGCCGUAUCGAUGUCCCUUUUCACCUUACGACGCUCAUGUGACGUGGGGUGGACCUUGAAGCGGUCUCAGCGAUCCGUCCAGCCGGCUCUGUUGCGUCGGCGACAUGGAUCGUUGGGCAUCGUCUGGUCUCUUGGAUGCUGAAAACUUGUGCGGGUGUUGGGCUUUCGUGGCCUUAUGUCUACCCUCGUCAAGCGUUAUCGCUUCUCCAAAACGACUGCCGGUCGCGUGUGGACUAGUUUGGACGCGAUUGGCGACGUCGAAA